AUGAUGAGUUCUCCAGUCAGCCUACAGGAAAGGCCAUAGUACUGAGUUUGCCCUUGUUCGCAUUGAGAAUGAUCUCCUUCGGGCAGUUGACAAGGAUGGUGCAGCAGUGUUGGUACUCCUGGAUUUAAGAGCUGCUUUUGACACCAUUGAUCAGGGAAGACUCCUUGAUACCCUUGAGCAGAGAUUUGGUGUUAAUGGCGAUGCACUAUUCUGGCUGAAAUCCUAUCUGAUAGGUCGAUACCAAUGUGUCGAUGUGGGCGGUAUUAGAUCUGAGAUGACAGAAAAUACUUCAGUCACAUUUGCAUACAUUACAAUCCAUCAGCAUUAUCUGGCUGCCGUCCUUUUGUUCCAUUACAGUGCACUGUAUAAGUCUGUGCCAGCUGCAAACAAAUAAAAAACACUGUUAAAAGUUAUCUGUAUUACAUGUUUUCUGCAUCAUCCUGCACAGAUCGUCACACCUUAAAGAUCACAAUCCAAAGACGUAUUAUCUUUGGGAGAUGACGUCCAUUUGGCAGCGUCAACCCACAAACUAUCUCUAUUUGCUGAUCUAUGGUAACAAACAUAUGUUUGUAUAUCUGAAAAGUGCAAAACAUUAUGCAAAAUCAGUUAUACUCGCACAAAGAUUUGGGGCCAACACAUGACUAGUAUCAAACACAAGUUUAAAGUAGGAACAGUUGUCAAACAAAGGUGAUUCAAGUACAACAAAUCAGAUCAUGCAGACAUUUAAUUUUAAUCUUACUUAUUUUUGCUACAAGAGCGCAAUGUUCUUCAGAAAAAGCACUUCCUGUCAUCAAAAAGGAAAGAACUCAAUCUGCUGUAUGUAAUAAUCAUAAGCAUGAAAUACAACAUAUAAAUUUCAAAAUUACCUCAUCUCUUGAUGUUUUUUGUUUGUUUGUAGAAAUCCAGACUGCAUCAAAUCUGGGUAGCCAUUUCAACAGUAAAAGCAGUACAGACAAAAUCCUUGACAGUCAGUUUCCAUAGACAUGCACAUGAUGGAUAUCAUGAAGUAUCAUGCUACACUUUAGAGAAGCAAUAUUGACAAAAUCCUUGACGGUCAGUUUCCAUAUACCGUACAUACAAAUAAUACAAAAUAUUUGUACAUUCUCAGUUAUAUGGAAGUUUAAUUUAUUGUAAAACAAUAGUAUUGUAUAUUAUUAUGUCAAUGACUUAUUACUGCCUCUAAAUGUACUGCCACUCUAACAUGUAAAGUCAUUGUAUUACUUCACAGUAAUCAUUGGGUAAUUGGAAUAUAUUUGUAAACAUAAUUAAUUUUAUAAUACAAUUGUUUAUCUUA